GGGGCGUGGUGAAGUCUGGAGUUCACGCCGGCCUGUCAAGCCGGAGAUCGCGGGUUCGAUCCCCGUCAGCCCCGCCA
rnacentral:tRNA from 1 species